rnacentral:lncRNA from 1 species
UUUUUUGUCAGGAUCUACAUACUCGUAGAUGAGUUGUAUCAUAGAUACAAUAAGCCGCAUCAGGGAUUACUUUCAUUCAAUAAAGUUUAUCAUCUAACCGAAAGAUACGCAAAGAUAUCUCCGGACGUUUAGAUAAUAAGACUUUAAAGUCUGAUAAGAAAACCCGUAAAGUCUCUUUCCAAGCUCCUGAAAAUCAAAGCAAGCAAAAAGAAACAUAAGAAUGAUAAAUUAAGUAAAAGAAAAUGUGUGGGUAAACUAAACCCAAUUACGACAUAAUUUCCGACAAAAAUAUAACAACUUAUUCAAAAAUAAAAAUUUUAGAACUUAUAAAAUUAUGAAACAAUUAUGAAAAGUUAUUAUGUCUAACCAAAGUAAGAACUUUGGUUAGACACACAAUACUAAAGAACUCAUAAUAAAAUACAUAAACAAAAAUUUAAUUUUUUGUUAGGAAA